rnacentral:lncRNA from 1 species
CGAUCAGAAGCCCCCUCCCCUCGCAGGCGCCUGACCCCGAGUGCUUUCCAUGGAGCCAUGGAGGAGGUAUAUGCGUGGUCAUUUGGACAAUAAAUUAGAUGCUCAUCCGCAGGGACUCUGUCUAUUUUUUUUUUCUUUUUUGAGAAAUACCGCAGGGACUCUGUCGUGAGCGCUAAUAAAUUUACCUCCUCGAACCGGCCCUGAGGGGGCAAGAGGGGUGGCCGCCCUGGGCCCAUGAAUCCAGGGGCCCCCAAGUAUGACAUGUGUACUAUGUAGGCCUCAGUGCUGAUUGUUGUGUGCAUUGUACUCUGGACAGCUGGGCUGUGUAUUGGGCCAGGGUAUCUGGCCCAUAGAAUGUCAAUGAAAUCGGCAGGUUGGCCCAUUGAAUCGUCCCAGUUCCAAUCUGAUCGCACGCCGCCAGACGCAAACCGCGCCAGCACGAACACGAAGGUGCGAGACGGCGAGAUGAAGUCAACAGAAUCCAAUUACAAAUCAUCGUGACAAUCGGUAAGAUUUUGUUGAACUGAUCUAGGCUAACUGGCAGCUUUGACUAGUUUCUAAUCGCUAAUUGUUUCUUAAAUUUGAGGUCGGUAAUGUUCCAAGAGAGGUUCUAUGAUUUGACAACUGUAUGCAUUGAGAAAUUGAACGAGAAUGGUACUGAAAGCAUCAUCAAUUACCAGCGCCGGAUCUAGGUUUUUGAGAUAGGGUGGUCCAAUGUAUAAAUUUUUAUCAUAAUAUAAAUUAUAACCAGCAAAUUUUUAUCUCAAACAUAUUAGUAGUAUUAAAUUUCGAAAGAGAAAAAAAAGGCAUUGGAACAAUUUUGCGAUAAUUUCAAUUCGAUCAAUGAGCAAAUCUUAAUUUGAUUCAAUGAAAGACCGAGAAAAAUGUCACCGGCUCCGUGUAAGCUGCUGCCUCGUCGCAUGCUCACGGUGACGAAGCGUAUGUUUGCCGUCCGCUGACAGUCAACGAUGAUGAUGACGAGAAAUACGAUGCGAUGUUACUUACUCAUGCUCGUUUGCUCGGCAAAAAUACGAUACGAUGCCAACUGGUCGUGAUCGAUCACUAGGCUGCUACAAGACCCGAUCUGAUGUGGUGACGCGUACACUACACAACAGAAAGAAAACGAGAACUGGCCGGGAAAAUGAGCUAUUUGAUCGGACUGAUUUUUCUUUUUUGGUGGGUUUAAAAUACACUAGUGUAUAUGUAUACGGGAUGUAUUUCCAGGGUGGUCCAUGGACCACCGUGGCCACCCUAUGGAUCCGCCGGUGUCAAUCACUUUGCAACUGAAGAAACUGUAUGCUGAUUUCCUUAAUGAAACCGGGGGCAAUAUCUAUGAAUUAUUUAUUAUUUUGAUGUUUAUUUAGGGGCCAGGUUUUGGGUUUGCCGUUUGGCCCGGGCCCGAAAAUCCCAGGACCGACCCUGAUUCUUUGUCGUCGUUAUUUCGGGAACAAAAAUCAGCUUUUCUAGGUAGCUGUUUCUUCUUUGAGCAUUUCCCUAUUGUUAAGCACCGGUAUUCUUCCCUCGCCAUUGGAUUUGGCAGACAAUCUGGUCUUCCACGUGCUUGUUUCCUCACUGCUCUGCGCAUGUAGUGCUAUGAAGUAAUCUCCGUUCCUAAAUACUUGUCGUACCAUCACAGUGAGAUGCUAUGAAGUAUUUUCUCCAUUCCUAAAUACUUGUCGUGGAACGGAGGGAGUACGAAUUAACGAUGAGGAAGCCAGCCAAGCCAAAUAACCUACGCGAAGAAAAGCCACCUAAACGGCUAAACCUGACCAAAACAAGCGCAAGAUGAAAGCAGAAACGAGGGGCAAGCUUUAAAGACCUGGUCUGACAACACAAAAGACUCGACUUAAUUUGUUUGCAAAAAAUGCUUGUACGCACUGAGCUCUGAAAAUGUUUAUGUGGUUUUCUGCUAGAUAGAUUUAGUAUCGACCGUCUUCACCUCCUAACCAUACCAAAUCGUCGAUAGAACAGAAAAUCAAAACUAUCAUUAGUCCUGAAAUAGUCUAACAAAAACCUGAAACUCCAACCCGAAUUUGAACUCUUAUUUUUUAAACGAUUAUAUUCAAUCAGUUCUCAAACAUAUUUGUGAUGUUAGUUGGAGGUGCUAAAUUGAAGUUAAUAUGGACCCUGGACAUGGACUGUUCUUCAGAUAAAAUGAGGAAAAGAACAUGAGAGAAACAAAUGUUGAAUAAUCUUUAUUGAGUCACAAGAUCUUUUUUACACCCAUUUAAAUUGGGCUUCACGAGAGUAUCUUUAGUACAAACACCAUUCUAUUAAGAAACCACAUAAAAUUAUAAAUUUGUUGAAUGUCAUUUGGAUUUAUUAUUGAGUUAUUGUAUGAAUGUUUUCUUUUCAAGCCGUCUCCUGGCCCAUGCUACGUAAAUAUAACUUUUCUGUCUCACUUUUUACUUUUCCUUGUCUAAAUAGAAUUUGCAAAGCGCCUGCCUGUUCCUAUAAAAAAGAGAGUAAAAUACACCACUGGUCCAUGAACUCGGCAGAAAUGAACACUUUAGUAUAUGAAUUCGGAGAACGCACACUUUAGUCCAUGAGUUCGGAUUACUGUGUCACUUGAGUCCAAAAACAGUUCGGCGGGUCUUAAACACGCCACGUGGCCGCCACGUCGGCUUCGGCCAAGACUUCGCACUACUACUCCGAUUUCUCGGGUGGUUAUUUGGAAAAUUACCACGCGGGUAAAAUCCAGGCCUGAGCUCCCCAAAAUCGAGCAAAUCCCUAACCCUAGUUUCUCUCUUCCGCAUUGCCCGUGCCCUCCAUCUCUCUGCCUGCUGCUUGGUGACGACCCCAAGGAGAAGGCCGGUGCGGCGAAGCAAUUCUCGUCGUCGACGGGCCUCCCGAGCAGGCCGAACCGGAAGCCGCCAGAAGCCCCCCCCCCCACCCCCCCGAGUUGUUGAGCACGGACGAGCUCGAGGAUCCGGAGCCCGCGGGCGACUCCACAUUUAGAUCCAGCACCAUCUCCGAUUCAGGAAGCCAAACGAACGCUGCGCCGCGCCCCUCUCCCCCGCGCUCCUCGCUCGCUGGCUGGCUAGCAAGCUCGAUCGGUCGUCGGACUCGCGCGUGUCUAUGGCAUGGGAGCUCGUUUGCAAAUAACCCCCUUAGAAAACGGAGUAGCAGUGCGAAGUCCUGCCCGAAGCCGACGUGGCGCCUACGUGACGUGUUUAAGCCCCGCCGAACCGUUUUUGGACUAGAGUGACACAAUAAUCCGAGUUCAUGGACUAAAGUGUGCGUUUUCCGAGUUCAUGUACUAAAGUGUUCAUUCCUGCCGAGUUCAUGAACUAGUGAUGUAUUUUACUUAAAAAAAAACAUUGUCCACACUACACAAUUUUGAAUUGCAUGAAAUUAUCCACCGAGACAAUUGCUUUUAGACAAUGAAAGACUUAGAGAUAUAUUACUGCUGGCCUCUGCACAUAAGAUCCACCAAAACCUACAUAGCUAAUUUGAAAAGAGUAGGACCAAGCAGGUUUUUUUUAGACGAAGGAGCCAUGCCCCCGAUUUCAUUAAUGAAAAGUUUAGAGAUAUAUUGCUGCUGGCCUCUGCACAUAAGAUCCACCAAAACCUACAUAGUAGUACAGCAGUUUAAAAGUAAACAGGUCCUCAAGUCUUCCUCAAAUAGAGAAAAAAAAACAGGAUUAACACGUCGAAACCAGGCCUCCAACCUGGACUACAGCAUAUCACAAAGUUAAGGACCAAGCAGGUUAUGACUCUGAGAAACAAGAUAUGACCUCGGGAUGGCACGGUCUUGCGAGUACCCGUGGCAAUACAGUCACAAGGAGGAAAUAGCGAUUGUUGCUCGAGUGGUAAAUCAGGACAAACAGCCUGCAUCUGAUGCGAUCAAUUAACUAUUGAUUGACCAGAUUGUCGACCCAAAGGUAUGUCCGUAUUCCUAACACCUCCCAAGCCCACAGCGUCCGUGCAAGUGCAUCCAUUUUCUUGUAUGUCCGCAAUCCACCUUUGUUCGAUUUAAGAAUGAAUCGACCUUGUGCUCCUAUACAAGUACACGGAAGAAUCCAUAGAGACAACGCCCGGGAGGAAACUGGAUGCCAUGGAGAUAUAUAAUGGAAGAGGGAGGACCACGUGGACCAUAACUGCUACUGUCAAAUUAAAGCGAAGAUGAAAGGCAUCAAGCUGCACAUCAAACAGCUAUGAAAGAUUUAUUUCAUGGAACCAACCAGCCAGGGAAAUGGUAUUUAUGUUACCCUGUCGUCCAUAGUUUGAUCUCUUCUCCCUUUAUAGUGGUCACUACCUGAAGAACAACAAACGGUGUUCAGUCAUCAGUGAUGGUUGGACGUCAACAAUACAACUCAACUCUGGCAGGCCCAACGACGCCCGUUAGUGAUGACUGUAGGAUUUUUGUGUCCUUCAACUUUAUUAUUUAUUGGAAUUCUAAUACUCGGUUAUCUCAUUAUGGAAUCACGUGCUCAUAGUUAUAUGAUGCAUGGAAUGCAUGCUUGUGGAAGGUACUUAAAUAUACUUCUGUGUUUUAACAAAGCUAGCGAUUAUCAAUGGAAUAUAAUAUAUCUUGUAUGAAUAUUGGAAAGACUGCCCGGACACGUUGAUAAUCGGAAGGAGCUAGAUUACAGCCCUAAUGUCGACCUACAUGAUUAGUGGAAUUUAAACUUGAUCAUGGCGCAUUGCUCACAGGUGCGUGUUUCGAGAACCCACGGUUAGAGUCCCUAAUGGAUGAACUAUAUUGUGAUUGAUAGUUUAAUCUGAACUCUAUCUGAAAACUAGUUUAAAUCUGAUGAUUUAAAACUAUAACUCUUAUUUGUAGAUGCAGUAUAAGAAGGUACUUAUCCCCUAGUCUCAGAUUGUGGAAUUAUGAGCGGCACCAAGGAAAAACGCAGAGGAAUAGAAGGCAGACCACCAAAAUUUCCAACAUUGGUAUCAGAUCACACGGCACGACGGUGAAAACUCCGGUCCGCUCCAAAUCUCACCGUCGCACGAUCCCGGGAAUCUUUGAGGUCGGACUCUGGUUCACCUAACUCUCACGAGGAAUCACGCUGGAACAGAGGAAGAAGAUAGGAAUCAAUCUACUCUGCCGUCAACGACCCACCGCUCCGACGCAGCGACCUGCGGCAACACUCUGGAACAGAGGAACAGAGAAAUCUCCAGCUGCGCUCCAGGAAGCCGAUCGAUCGACCAAGAGAUAGGAUCUGACACGCGCGUCGCCGGUUAAUUCAUUAUGUGAUUCUUUACGAAGCACGUGAUUGAUAAAUCAAGUAGUCGUCUUCCGAUGUGUACUUUAACCUGGAUUAGCAAACAAUACGCUGGAACAAUUAGGAAUCGAUCCAACUUCACGCUUCACCGCGGACUCCCUGCUGCUAGCCCGACGAGAUCCCUUGCGGCAUGCUCCAUCCACUCAAGUCACCGCCGCCUUGAGGAAUCAUCACUGCCGGCCGCUAACUCGCGUCUCCGCCGCUGCCUGCUGGUCCAUGCCGGCCGCUGCGGUACCACCACUGGAUCCGCUGCCCGUAAUGCCGGCCGCCUCCAGGAAUCGUCGUCAGCCGCCACAUCGCUGGCUUCAGCUCCGUCGAGCCGAGGCCACCGCCCCACACUCAAGCCGCCGCCGUCGCGCCGCCUUGAGGAAGCCAAGCCUCCAGAAUCGCCGCCACCUUGAUCCGUCGCCCGCACCCCGCCGGCUGCUGCUCCCGUCGCACACGGCCCGCUAGCUGAUGCCCGCUGAAUCGCGCGCCGCCGGGCCGGCCGCCACCCUGCCCGCCGCUGGCCCGACCUCCUCCCAAGGACUCUGCACGCACAGGCCUGGGCCGCCUGGGUGGUGUUUUCUGGACAGUAGCUGUCAAGAUUCAAUAAUUGGUUAUUUGUUGUUUGUUGACGCACAGGUGUUGUGGCUUCUCACUUGAUUAAUCCUCAAGGAAAAUCCGCUGGAUUGCUUGCUGCUGCUAUUACGAGACAAAUUCAACCCAUCUUUGCCAUGUCUGGAUGGAAACAGUAGUGACGAUCAGGAAAUUCGUUGGCUUAAUCCGGAACUUGGGACUUCACGCACGCAUCUCCGCUAGGUGUAUCGACGAGCUCGCUGCAGCUCAUCAACUCGUCGAGACGAGGAAGGGGAACGAAAAAGCAUGAUGUGGAAAAGGAUUUUGGAAACGUGUCAAUUAUUGAGCAUUUACUUGCUUAUGGAGGAAGCUACAAGUCACUCAAUGGAAAUGAAAUUUGCUCUCACACGUAACGGUAUGUCCUGUAUUUUUAUUUGUUCGUUAUUACAACUAUUUUUUUUUUUGAAAUAGUUGGAAUAUGCUCUCCACUGCUACAUCAUAUAUAAGUAGAGUACUAUAGCGACUUUAUUGAUAUAUAAAGACAAUUCCAAAAAAAAGAUAUGGGUACACUUAUACUAAGGAAUUAAUGUUUGACUAUACUUUGGAGCUGGAAAUUAUGUCUUCACACUCCUUCGAGGAGGAAAAACAUUGAUAUUACUAUAGGACACUACACUCCUUCUUCACGAAGGAAUUUAAAUUAAUGUUCUCCAUUGGAAUUUGUUGGUUAUGACAUACUAUUUGGAAAAGGAAGAGUGGAAAUAUUGCUCAAUGGAGAACAUUAGUGCAACAUGGAUGUAAAUACAAUGGUCUCUUUUAUUUGCGAUCCAUUGGAAAUUAGUAACCUGUAUUGUUUAUCUGAUGGAAUAACUCCAUAGGGAGGAAUACUCAUAAGAGGAACACAUGCUCAAAUUUUUAUUAAUGAUGGUAUUUACAACUUGGUCAUAUUUAAGAAACAAAAUUGAAUAUCUUGUUGAUUCUGGAAUUCUAAACUAUAAGUGGGAGGACUAUAUUAUUGCUACUUGGAUUAUUUAUUUUCAGUAGCACUCCCGCUAAAGGUCGGAUGUUUUAAUUUUCAUCUGCUUCAUUAAUGAUUGCACUUUAUAUGGUUAUGAGUAUCUUGUAAAAUACAAGUUGUGAGGUUUAUCAUGUGUUCGUAACAUUUUAUACUGAAGUGGAAAAUCAGUUCUUAAGAGAUUUAAGUACUGAUUGGUGGGAAAAGUACACACUUCAGGAAUAUUAAAUGAAAGUUAUGGAAUGAGCAUGGAAUUUUACAAUUUUACACCACAUUAUACUAUGUCCUGUACUCCAAAGUUCAAUGGAGGAAUAAAACAUAUGGAUACUCUCUUGAUUUUUCUUUUGGAAUAUGCAUUAUAUAUUGUUGUAAGUUUUAUGAUUAAUCACCUAGCACAGUCACUCCUUAUGGUUUGGAACUGGAAAGGAAUUCUUCUAUUUACAUUCUGACAGUGUGGAACUGAAAUAACUACAAAGCACACCAACAUUUAUUUUGAUUGGGUAUUCUACUGGAUCAAAUAGUAUGAAUUUUGAUCUGGAAAGGAAAACUGGUGGAAAGUAGGAACACAAUAUUUAUUAUUUUGAUCAAGAGUGGAAUAAUGUUGACCCCACUAUAAAGCACAAGUUGAACUCCGGACACUAACGUGCUUAGGAUAAGUGGGAGGAAUAAACUUGGACUAUCAUAUAUGUGUUCUUGGGGGAAGUCACUCUAAAUUUUAGAGGAAUGACUAAAGUCAUAUCAAAUGGCUAGAGGUUAACAUUAACGUCAACUAUGAGUGGAUAAUGCGAGAAGGAAUAAAGUUUUGGAUUUAUAUUUUCAAACUUCCGCCAGCUCAUAGGUUGUAAAUGAAUUCUAUUUACAAGGAUUUAUGGCUCAGUGGGAUUCGUUGAUGCUAAACGAUUCAUACAAAGGAAAUUUAUGUACUUUGUGGAAACUCUUUCUCCUAUUACAAUUAUUGUUUUUGGGAAUUUAGAGGAAGAGGAAAUAAAGACAGAUUUGCAAUCCGAAUAGAUUAAUUUAUCAUAUCCAACAAGCUUCACAUCAAUGGAAUCUAACGUUAUAUGUUUUUCCCUAAUGACGGAAGGCGUUCAUGUGCAAAGGUAUGUUUAAUUAUUAUUUUUGUUAUUAUUUAUACUAAUGCUAUUCAUGUUUCUUGUGUUCACAAAGUCACAUUGAUGGAAGUGAAAACUUGGUUAUUGUUCCAUAAAUGUUAAAAUAAAAUAAAAACAUAGAUACCAAUUUUUUAAUUGUUCAUCCAUGGAAAACUGCAAAACCUGGAAUGAUACUUAGCGAGGAAUAGUUUAUGAACUCCUAAGGAAAAUAUUCAUGCAACCAAAACCUUAAUCAUGUCGCUGGAAUUAUUUGUUUUCAUUUGCAUCAAGAUUGGCAUUUUCUGGAAUUAUUGGUUAAUGUCAAGCAAAACCUGGAAGGAGCAUUCGAAUUAUUUGACAUAUUUACUUCAUAAUAUCAAAGGAAUUAUAUGUACUAUUCAUUAUGUUCAAAUGGCAACAAUCCUCGACUGUUUUUUUUUUAUUAUGCUACAUGGGAGGAGGAUUUUGAUGAUUGGAAAUCUAGCCACUUCAUCUUAAAACUUCGAUGCAUUUUAAGCAUUGAAGGAAGUCUCAUGGCUAAGGGAAUUUUUCGCUAUACUUAAGGUUGCGGAAUGUACAUCAGAAGGUAUCAUUAUUAUCUUGGUAAUGUGGAAGCGUCAAAGUGUUGUUUUAUUGUUGAUAUGAAAUUAUUACACGAUGAAAUAUGACUUGAGGAAUUUAUACAUACUCAAGGUGUACUUAAGUAAAUACUUAAGAAAUAUUAGUAUUGGAACACGGUAUCAAUAUACUGGAAAUAUCCCAUACUCCACAGCAAGAGGAAAAAUAUUGAGGGAAGGUAUCACAAUAUACGUUGUGUAAUUAAUGGGCUUAAAGUUUGUUUGGAUUUCUAACGUAGUAUUAAUAUGCAUGCUGAUCCCUUGACUAAGUCCCUUAGUCAUGUGGUAUUUGGUAAGCAUGCUAAAGCUAUGGGUCUACGAGUAUUUGAAUAAUCGUUUUGGACAAGUGGGAGAUGUAGGAUUUUUGUGUCCCGCAACUUUAUUAUUUAUUGAAAUUCUAAUACUCAGUUACCUCAUUAUGGAAUCACGUGCUCAUGGUUAUAUGAUGCAUGGAAUGCAUGCUUGUUGGAAGGUACUUACAUACACUUCUGUGUUUUAAGAAAGCUGGCAAUUAUCAAUGGAAUACAAUAUAUCUUGUAUGAAUAUUGGAAAGACUGCCCAAGCACGUUGAUAAUCGGAAGGAGCUAGGUCAUUGAUUAGAGAUUACAGCCCUAAUGUCGACCUACAUGAUUAGUGGAAUUUAAACUUGAUCAUGGCGCAUUGCUCACAGGUGCGUGUUCUGAGGACCCACGGUUAGAGUCCCUAACGGAUGAACUAUAUCGUGGUUGGUAGUUUAAUCUAGACUCUAUCUGGAAACUAAUUUAAAUCUGAUGAUUUAAAACUAAGACUCUUAUCUAUAGAUGCAGUAUAAGAAGGUCUUUACCUCCUAACCUCAGAUUGGGAAAUUGUGAGCGGCACCACGAGACCAACGAGAGCCUAAAUCACCACUGACGGUUAGUAGUGUCAGAGGAGUUGCUAGCCAGCCUUUGGUCGAUACGAUAAGCUACUUUUUUUUCGAAACAUAAGUACUGAUGCUGCACCUAAUUAACUUGCUUGCAUAAUUACCGGCUCACCAGUUGUGUGACCAUAUACACCUACGUGCCUUAAGAACCGGUUAGUAGCGUCAAAGAAUUAGCAAGACUUUGUCCAUGACUUGACUGAGUUUGUUUUUUAAGUUGCCCAUUAUAAUAAGCAAGGAAAAAAGAAGAAAAUGUGUGGUCCAUGGUGUAAAUAUGGUAACAUGGAAAUGCUGCCGUCCAGAGGCGGGGAGUUAUAGCUACACAUGCAAAUGCCCAGACAAAAGAUUUUCCUUAAAGGAUAUAAAUUUGCACUAAAAGGAUAUGAUCCAGAACAGAUUUUUGUUCUCCUAUACAUUAAUUUUUUUUUAAAAUGUAGGCAUACAGAGAUAUUUUAGUUCUUUAUGCGCUUGGAAAGUUCUGUGGAAAAAAAAGUAGUUUUUGCCCGAAUAAAUAAGACAAGAUUAGUGUUUAUGUUUUAGAGUACUGAAAUUAGUUUUUUUCCUGCUAAGGAAGGUAAAAUGGUCAGAAUGGAAAAUUUACAAAAAACAUAGUAGAAUGCCUGAAGUUUUUUUCCACAAUAUUUUGACAAUCGCUUACUUAUAUAUCCAUGUUUUCUUUCCAGUAAGACCGACGCUGAUGUUCAUUGGAAGCUUAAUUAAUGAGUUAGAGCUAGUUCAGAUUAUGAGUACGUACAUGUUAUGCUUGUUUCUUUACGAACUAUACUACAAUUAGGUGUGCCAUAUGCCCAAUCCUACUAUGCAGGUAUAUUAUGCUUCCACAAAUAAAAUUGUGGGAAAAGGUGGGGCGUUGAGCAAAGACAAAGGGGUCUAUAUAGUGUAUAGACUAUGGAGUACGGUGUCUUUGGAUAAAGACAAUGAUCAAUUUUUCUUAGUGUCGCCUGUAGGCUUGUCGCUUUUACCUGUUCCAGCGCUCCUUCCCGGUUUGCCCGUUGCUACGCGGUGCGCAUCCAGGUUCCCGUCGCCUCUCAAUCCCAUGAUGCCAAUUACGUAACCAACUAUAAACAUGCAUCGAGAGACCCAAUCUAUCUCCAGUAUUGUGUAUAUAUGUAGUGAAGCCAAAUUAAGCGAUCACAUGAAGAAAUUAAAUCUAUCUAGCCAGAGCCAAAACAAGUGCAAGCUGAACCCAAUUUAUAAAGGCCCAAGCUGGCAGCAGAAACGACCCAGUGCUCUUGAGCUCUGACAGCAUAACUAACUUAAUUUCAUUUCUUUACUAAGAAUACUGAGCCGUAGUACUACGUACCCACCUUACUAAUGUGAUACUUAUCAAGAUACACGUCAUGCACGCUGAUUUAAGGUUGGGAAGGAUUUUGUUGAAAUAUCACUUGGAUCUAAUACAGAGUGUCGACUCUUUUCUGCUGUCUACUCCUGUUUCUCUCUCUCUCUUUGGCCUAGGCCAUGUAAAUAAACUUUGUUUCACUGGUUCUCACUUUUACUCAUCUUAACAAAGAGCCUACUUCAUCCCCUAUAAUUUUUUGUUCUACAUCAUAGAUUUCUGAACUUUAUCAGAUUGUCCACCGUCUGAAUUGAAAAGGCGAAGGAGGUUAUGACCGUCUGAAUUAAGGAGGCGAAAGCAGGUUAUGAUUCAGGCACAUCACCAACUAGCUAGCUGAAACCACUGGCAGUCGUAAUGGAUGACCGAUUUCUGUGAAUUAAACCAUCCAGGGAAAUGCCAUAUGUUAUCCUGUCGUCCGAAACUUGAUAAAUUCUGUCUUCAUAGUGGUGUUAGGCGCAUAAUUUUCAUUUCUCCAGUCUCCUGAUAGCAAGAUAGGGUGGCUAGUACACUAAUAUGUGUCAACAAAAAGGAGAUCUUACUAUGUUCGAGAAGGUAAUUUUUGCUUUUACUAUUAUCAUAUUUUCUGAAGUGAAAUUUUGAUAUAGUCAAUGGAAGAGUAUGACCUUUUUGGAUGAUACCUAGCGAAAGUGGUCAAAUCUCAAACACCUUAUGUGUUAUCCACGUUCAUUUUUUCUUGUCAAAAUUUAAAAUGAGAAUAAUCUCCAGGACACUGAUAGAAAGACUGCCAAACUUGAGUUUACAACAAUUCAAAAUUAGAGACUACAAAUGCCAAUUUAAAUUUUCAAAGUGGAAAGAAUACCACAUUCUAGUAAAUGUACCAACUUACAACCAUGGUGGUUCUAUUUUAUUUUAUUUUGAACUGAACGGAAGGGGAGUCCCCUACCUUGAUUUUAUAAACAUUGUCAAGAAAGGCAUCAUCUUACAGGGAGAUAUGCAAGAAGUACCGGGGGGAGAGGAGGAACAAAUGCAAAAGACUACUUUUUGAUUACAUCAUGUAAGAAUAUCACAUACACAUUUAAUCAGGCCAUGAGUCUAUCUUUUUUUUUGAAACAAGGCCAUGAGUCUAUCAAGUGAUGGGCAGCCUGUUUCUCGAUCUUUUUCAUACGUAAAAAACCACAAUUUGAGGGUAUCUUGAUAUUGACGGACAACCAUGGGGAUAGUAAAACGAACAUCGUCAAAUACUUUACGGUUUCCUGCUAACCAUGGUGGUUGUAUUGACAACUCGGAAAAGCGUUUUUUUCCUACGGUGUACAACAUACUCAUUUUUCACCUGCCAUGGCUCACUAACCACACCAUUUUGGUGGUUUCCAUGUCAUAUUUCUCCCUAGCUAAAUCAAGAAGAGAAGUAAGAGGAAAAUGCACGUAGGCCACUGUGAACUUACAACCAUGGGACGGCAUCCUUGAUGUUUCCUCCUCCACUAUUGAAGGAGGGGUAGAUAGAGAAAUAAACUUUCCACUUUGUCCAAAUUAGAUCAAUCUGCGGCACUUUUGGUUACUACGGCCCUGCAGCACGUUGUAGAACAGCUGCAAAUUAAACACCUCUCUAGGGAUCCUUCUAAUAACACCCGACUUUCUGGUAAGUGUUCACUGUUCUUUACUUCCCUAAAAUUUAUGAUUAAGUCGGGCGAAAAUGUGAGUCACAUGGAAAUGACUAUGAGUUCAUGAAGUCAGAACUUAAGCGCCGAUGCACCGUGAUACUCUUGUGUGCUACAUCCUGCUGCUUCCCAAUCCUAGCUACCUAAGCUAGCUACGUCAUCGAUCGUAGCUAUAGUUGUAAAGAUGUGAACCUAGUGAGUAAAGGAAGUCUACGUGCAGUUUGAUCAAAUCACUAUCGCGCGUGGCCGCUCAUUUUAUAUGGGUCUGUCAUGCGCUAUGUGCAAUCCUUUAUUGGAGUACGUCCGUUGGUACAGUAUUCAAAUUCAUUGAAGUACUAAUAAUAUAUGUGCAAGUGCUACACCUACAUCGGUUACAUUGCAGCAAUUAUUUAUCCCUUAAUUCACGGGGAUAAUAAACGUACGUGUAAAAUUGUCAAUAUAUGUACCAUUGCAAACAUGGUAGCUUUCAUGGGUUGCCGAGGUAGGAAGAAAAUGCUGGUGUCCAUUGCUUUCAAAUUGGGAUAUUCCGUUUUCUACAAUUGAGAAAAAAAAAGUUGAGUCCAUUUGCAUAUUUUCUCUUUUUUAUUUACAAGUUGAUGUAGUGUCCAGCUGAAAUAACUAGAGUUUUUACCGUACCCUGUACUGUUUGGGGGAGACAAUCAGAUCGAUCUGACCGUUGAAUCAGGAGGAUAACUUUGGCUUUACAUCUGUAAUUAGCCAUUUUAUUUUUGGACAGUUUGGUCAUUUGCCUACCCGCAAAAGAAAAAAGCUUGGUCAUCUGCCUUGUUGCCUUGUUGGCUUCUCUGAUCCAAUUAAUCGAUCCUCUGUUUUUUUCUGUUCACACAACUCUCUGCCGCCGUGGUGGUGCACUUCCCUGCUUCUGCCGUGAGAUCGCACGUCGCAGUUUGUACUGUCUUUGCUCGCCGCCAACUUCAGUCGCUCGGCAUCAUCUCUCAGCUGCUCUUCUGUCGCUGCUGUUCCUGAUGCCCUGCCGUACGUUAGUCCGCCGCUGUCGAAUCUGACCGAAACUUGCUUGGCUCGACCGCCCGAGCGAUAUUCACCAGCCUGUGUGUUCCAUCAUCUUUCCAGAGUUUGUGUUCUUCCCAUGUUAAGAACGAGUGAACAAAAAGAUCAAUGCAAUGGAACCGGCCGCCUAGCUAUGGUGUAGAUAGGAGGGACACGAGCAACUUUAAUUUUCUGUACAGGCUAUAGUUUCAAUGUAACUCAUGUCAGCAAUUAAUCAGUUAGGUUUCUCUAGCAUGCUUGACCAAGCAUAUAAUCAUUACAACAGUAGCUUCAUACUUGAUCUCCAUGUAAUGGGUUUUACUGCGUUCUUGGACAUGAUAUAUACUUAUAAUUUAACUAAAUAUUUUUUCCCAUUUCUUGCGUUGAGACUUGAGGAUCAUAUCUAUAGUUACCGCAGCAAUGCGCGGGGAAUCAUCUAGCUAUCAACAAGAAUCACUACCACGAAAGGGCACAUCAGUAACCAACCCGCCGCAACCUCAUUGCCACACCGAUAUGGGUAUCAUCAGUGGCGGACUGGCAUAUGCCCGACACUGAUGCUGUGUAGCAUCAGUGUCGGUCACUUGUAGACCAUCAGUAUCGGGCCGGCAGCCGACAAUGAAAUAUUUCAUUAAUUCAAAAAAUAAUUAAAAUAAUUUACUCCAGAACACAGAAUGCACAUAAUAUGAACAUCACAUAUAUUUCGAAUUAAAACUGCACCCAUAUAUUAAAAUCAUGAGAAAAUUAAGCAAAACCACCACAUUUGAGACAACCUUCUAGGAAAACUACCAUUUUUAAAAAAAAAUUCAAAUUACCACCGCUUUUGUGCACGUAGUACUCCCCUGCACUAAUUAGCGAGUUGAGUGUGUUUUGAUGGAAAAACUGACAACGGGGCCUACAUGUCAGUGCCACCGUGGUGCAGAUUAUGUCGUAGUACUUCCCUGCACUAAUUUGCUAGUUAAUGUUAAUGUCCUAUGAAGGACAUUAAUGUUACCCGCGCUAUUCUUCGUCUACCUUCUGAUUAUUUUGGACAUAGGUUUGCAUCAGCUCAUCAUGCGGUGCAGAUUAUGUCUCUGGUCUGCUCAUCCAGCUUCCCGUCGCCUCUCAAUCCUACGCUGCGAAGGUACGAACAAAAUGUGUUUAGCAUGCAUCGAGAUAGAAUUGAUCGAUUAAUCAUGCAAGAAAGUGAAGCAGCCCGGCCAAAACAAGUGCAAGCUGACAACAGAAAACGAGAGCCAAUUUAUAAAGGCCCAAGCUCUUGAGACGUUGGCCACGUGCUCACGUACUCUCGUGAUGAUCUGGUCGACCUAAUUUAAUUUGUUUGCAGAAAAAUAUAUUAGCAGUGUACCUAGCAAGUUUCGACUGCCCGUCAGAGAAGACAUAUAACUGUUUUUUUAGUAGCGACCAAAAACUUCGAAAAAAAUAACAAUUUGCCAUGUGAGUGUUUUACACGCAGAAAAACUCAAGUAUUGUGAAAAGAUGAUCAGACUAUUAGUUGCUCAGUUGCUCUAAAGUACUUUUUUAUUUAGUUUCUGAAUAAAAGGGUUUCUCUCGCCUCUAAUUUCAUUUUGUAUGGAACAGUAUACUACUAGCAAUUAAGGUUAAGACCGGAGUUGCAUUAAUCCAGUCGAUCCAGUACAUAGUGUUUGUGUGAAGCUUCACAUUCCGAUUUCCGGAAUGAUAAUUGAGCAAUCGCAUUUUCACGCCAUAUUUUGACCACGUUAGUCUAUUCGAUGCACUUAUAAAGCUUAAAAUUCAUUCUUUGUUUGUUACUUCACGCGAGCGAACAACAAUUCAGCAAUUUUUAACUUUUUAUCACCUCACAUUCAGGAAGUAGAUACAAGGAAGGGUAACGGAUGAUUUUACCACUUUGCUCGCUUGCUCACUUGCCAUUCUAUAUGAGCUGUUUUACGAAAUGGAGGGAGUACUUCAUUUGCACACUUUGGUGGUUGACCAAUUAAUAUACAAAUUUGCGUUUUGUGACUACUAGGAAAAAUUUAUCAAAAUAAAGGGAAUGUCUAUUUCUCAGUCACAUAAGAAAUAGUUAUUUCUGUCAGCAAUUGUAGCCAUCCAUAGAAGUUUUUUUUAUUCAUUGGACCUACAUUAAUAUUACACGAAUCUCAAUGAUUGAAUCAAAAAGUUGUUAGCAUCGACUAAGAACCUAAGAAAUAGCAAAACCGUUUCAGAAAACCACACUUUUUGCGUUUAGAUUUUCACAGAAGCACAAUUAUCGCUAAUUGUCUCAGAGAACCACCAAUCUUUUUGACAGUCGUGGCACGUCAAAUGUGGGCCACAACUGUGUUUCUAUGAAAACAUUGACAUAAAAAAGCAUGUUUUUGUGUUCUGUGAAAGACUAUGCGCAUGCAUGUUUGCAUGCUAUAUAUGUCACUUGACAUUUGUACCACAACUGUCAGAAAACCUUUCAAAUGGCUUAAUCUGCCAAUUUGGGCUCUUUCAGGCUCCUUAAGAUAAUUAGUGAUAAUUGUGGGUCUUUGAAAACCUAAAAACAAAAGUGUGAUUUUCUGAAAUUUAUUCUAAGAAUAAACAUGUCACAGUGGCUGAUGUGACCGCAACCUUCCCACCAAGUAUCGUUUUCCCACGGCCAAUCGUUAGGGUGAAACUUGUUGCCUGAAUGUUGGGUUAAAUUUACUCAGGGCAAGUUUUGUGUUAGGUGCAAAAAAGACAAGUUUAGUGCUUAAACUUACUUCUUAGAGAACCAAUAUUUCUUUUUCUCAGGGCACACAAAAAAAAGUCUUCUGAUAAAUACGUACAAGAACACAUAUACAGAUUACGCGCAUUAUAUGCUGGACUUUGUUUAAAAUAUUUUGACAAUAAUAAGUUUUUUAUGGUUUUACUGUUCAACUUGGGAGUAGUAUGCGCUCAUGCACGGGAUCCAUUUUUUUUUCGAAAAAAAAGGAUAUCAUUGCAAACUCAAAGAUGCUUACAAUCGUUGGUCACCACAGCUUGAAUGCCAUCAGGCACACUUCUAAGCCAACACGAAGUGUGGCGUUCUAAGCGUCCCAAAGAAGUUAAGUUAUGACUAGCGCCGUUCUGAUUGCGAGAAACUUUCAGAACUGUGAUAUCCCUAAUUCCAGUCAAAUGACGACGAAUUUCCAACACACUGUGAACAUACCGGGAUCUGUUCUCUCCGUGGUCCUUCAUGAGGGCAAUUGCCUCAGAACAGUCGGAUUCCAUUGCAAUUGGGAGGUCAGACCAUUGCUGAGCAAGCGACAGUCCUUCCUCACAGGCUGCGAGCUCAGCCCCUGACGGAUCAUUGCACCAAGGCAGGAAACGACAAGCUGCAAAGAUAACUUGGCCCAAAUGAUUCCGCAGAAUCAUGCCUGCACCAGCACUACCAUCUUCAUGCCUAAAGGAACCGUCCACAUUUAACUUUACCUUGCCAGGAUCUGGGGGACGCCACGGUUCCGGGUCAGAGGCCUGGACACACGGCUCCUUCAGUUUCCUCCUAUUCCCACUGCUAACAACCGGCUGUUUGCCCUUUAUGAUAUCUUCAGUUGAGGAGGUCUGAAUAGAGAUUAAGGACUGGAUGUAGCUGCAUAAGAACCGGCAUGAUCCCUCAACGGGCGACCGAGGUUUCUCAUGGGUCAUUUCAUUAAUUAUUUAUACAGCCAUACAUUGUUGAUCUUCGUUUGAAGCUUCCAACUCGUCCAGCAUUAUCUAUGCAUGUUCUGAUUGUUCCUUUCUGAUUUGUGAACUGCGAUUGCGCAUGAUCUGUGCCGAAGAUGCAAGAAGGAUUCUGGUCACUUCAGGUUUUACUGUUCAACAAGAACAAAUGUAGCCGCUGUGUUCAAGUUUUUCGCACAUACUGAGUCCGCACCCCAAACUCUGAACACUGGCUUGAAGUACUUCGGAGCAACGCCCCUGCACUCCAAAGACGAUAUCAUCUCCGGAUUCAACGCAAUGAUGUUUCCAUUGGCCGGAGGGAACUGAUUGCUAACCAAAACAUCGGGUUGAUGCCUUGCAACACCCAUGUGUGUAACUUCUCGGUGCCUCCCAAUCCCACCACACAUGUAUACUUGUUGUAUACAUUGCCUGCCUAAAAGAAACAGUUGAGGAAGAAGUGACGUCGAGCAAAUCUAAAGAGAAAAUGACAGUGUUUGCUCGCUUUAAAUACGGUUGACAAAAGAAUGCUCGCUCUAGGCGAGGCCUGUGCAGUGCUUUAAAGGCAAAGAAAAGUGAACCACUGUGCUUGCCAAAAGAAAAAAGGGUCUGAAAUGUUUUUCAACUAUAUUAAUUAUGGCACACCGUGAAAAAUGGAAAAUGGGCUGCGCUCCAACCCUUCCUGCGAAAUAGGCACUCCCAGGAUCUGUGGAGGGGUGUGCGAAAGAGGAACUCAGUGGAAGAUUGUUGGAACCAAGUUCACGUGACGAGUUGACGGGCUGAAAGACGUCGGACCUUCGGUUAGCCUUUACCACCACAAGACACAAGUCACAACUGCAACAUGUCAAGAGGUGAGCGAGUUCGUCAGAAAAGGCUCUCGUAGGAGAAUUUUUUUUUUUUAAGGGCCAGCAGGUGGAGCUGCUGCUUCAUUAAAGGAGGAGAACGACAGUACAAAUACAGGUUAGCUCGAGCAGAGCAUUACCAAGGAACAAAAGAAGAACAAAAAGAAAAUAAAAACAGGAACAAAGCAGAGAAAAGCCUAAUCUCGCGACAUGGGAAACCUUCUUCUUGAGCUGGACCAUAGGGUGAUGGCGUCCAAGAUACGUCGCACGAGCUGUCCAGCCCAGAGUUCAACCUCCCGGAAGAUACGUCGGCUGCGCUCGAGCCAGAUUUCCCAGAGUGUAAGGAGGGCCAUCGUCUUUAGCCAAUGGCGGCCAUGCCCAGCAAUCGAGAGGCCCUGGAACCAGUCGAACGGCGUCGCGGGGAGCCGCCAGGCGCCUGGACGGAAGGAUGGAGCUGCCAUCUUGAUCCCGAUCUCAUCCCAGAUGUGGCGGGCUCAAGGGCAGUCACAGCAGAGGUGAUCCAAGGUUUUCAGAUUGCGCCGGCAAAGCUGGCAGAAAUAGGAAUUGGGCCAGCCUCGACAGAGGAGAACAUCGGCAGUGAGCAAGCGCCGCUUCUCCAAGAGCCAGAGGAAGAACUUACACUUAGCUGGGGCCUUGAUGGACCAGAUGCUCGACCGCAGGUUGGACCGAGUUGCGCCGGAGAACUGCAGCAGGUAUGCCGAGGUGGCCGAGUAUGUCCCAGCAGCGGAGAAGCGCCAUCUGAAGCCGUCGCUGCCCGUGCGCAAGGUGACGGCGGCAGCGCGUCCCCAUAGCUCGACAAAUUCAUGCAAGUUCUGGGCAUUGACACGCCCCCGAAGGUCUUGGAUCCAGCGCCCGUCGCGGAGGGCAUCGGCUAGGGUUCUGUUCUUUCGGAUGGAGCAGCUGAAGAGGGACGGCAUGGCGACGCGGGGGGCAUCCCCAGCCAGCUACCAUUCCAAAAGGAGAUGGCCGUUCCAUCCGCAACCGUCGCCGUGGUGGCCACAGCGAACAGGUCGCGAUCGACGUCGGAGCAAGGCAUAGGCAGUCCGGUCCAGGGUUUGCUAGGGCAGGUACGCUCAAACCACAACCAUCGGAGACGAAGGGCCCGGCCGAAGAGGUUAAGGUCAAGCACGCCCAGCCCCCCGAGCUCCCUGGGCCGGCAAACCGCCCUCCACGCCACCUUGCAUUGCCCGCCCGUCGCAGCCGGUUUCCCAGCCAUAGCCUGCCACGUCUAAGCUUGUCGCAGUCUUUAAUGAACCAAGCAGGGAGCUGGUGCACCGUCAUGGUGUAGGUGAGCCUGGCCGGCUCUCAUAGGAGAAAUUAGUUCGAAGACAUAUUGGUAUUUCUGACACCUCCCAAGCCCACAAGAGUACGGCGAGAGACCCAACAGCAUACAUAAGCGUGCUCCCUUCUCCUCCUAGUUAUAUUAUAUACUGUACACACGUGGCAUGAAAGAAUAGGAAAGUAGGAAACUAUAUGCAAGGGAGUUGGAGGCCGUACAGUCGCUCGAGGUUAUGUAUCCGCCAGUGUUUGUAGAUUGUCGUAACUUGUAUACCUGUCUAAAAACACGGACCGUUUUUUUCACCGUCGUCUGUCAAAUUUUCCAUAAAAUUUGUGGGCUCUCAGAAUUGCAUGUAUAUUAGGCUUAUUUAGCCACAUGCACCGAAUCUAUCUAUAUAUAUUCCAUAAAAUUUCUGGGCCCCCAGAAUUGCAUGUAUAUUAGGCCUACUAAGCCGGCUAGCCCAUUACCUGCACCGAAUCUAUCUAUAUCUAUAUCUAUACCAAUGUAAAAAAUACUGACCGUUCCACCUUUUUUCCUCCUUUUUUUUCGUCAAGCCCCCGAGACCCACCUCGUCCGCCCGCACGCAAACUACUCCUUCGUCCGCUCCAGACGGCCAAGCUACCCUCUCCUGGCGCAGCCCAAUAGGAGACCCUUCCUAAUCCAACAAAAAUAUUUUCCCUGACACGGCGGAGGAAACACAAUUAAAAACCCAAAGAUCUCUCUUCAUACUUUCGACCUUACUCUCCUGCUUUGGUGAUGCUCGUUAUCUGUAGGUGCAACGGCAGAUUGAUCCUGCGAUGCAGCAUAUGGUCCAGCAUGCGGUGCCUCCUUCCAUCCGAGAGCCCAUGGCUCUGACAUGCAGGCUCCAUCUUGUCAUACACCGUCUAAUUCCAGAGAAAACAGGGGAACAAUCUCGUUCUCUCAGCCCUCGUCCCCGCCGUGUUGAUCUGAGCCACUCUGACUCAGUUCGCAUCCCACUGGUUCCUUUCGGACUGAGCUCGUCUCUGACUAGGUUAGACCCUCACAGCACUAAGACAGGCAGAGCUGAGAGACUCUUAGUUGUUCAAGUAGCUAGCCGGGGAGGCACCCCCCGCAACCUGUAAACACUCUUAAAUCAAUCGAAUCCAAGCACAAAAGUAGGGCGUAGGGUAUUACACCUCCGGGUGGCCCGAACUGGGUAAACUCCUCAGUGUCACACUUCGUGCCUUCGCCACGUCGGGGAUCACUCGGGAGCCGUUACGACAACGCGCGUUAAGACGGUUCAGCCAUGAUUAUGGGGGAUGAUUGAGGAGGGGAAAGGAAGGGAAGGGCCAUGGGAUACGGUUCAGAGCACCUGGACGGGUCACGGGCCGAGGAGGCAUCGUCGAGGGCGGAGAUUGCGGCGGCCGGCACGUGUGUGUGUGUGUGUUGCUUUUGGCACGAGGAGGAAGACAUGCACGGGCGCUCGUCCGAGCAUGGGCUGGACGCUCUCGAGGAAGCUGACCCAAGAGAGAGAACGGGUGUGAGAACGGGUGUGGCCCAAGAGAAAGAAAAAGAACUAAAAGUGGCUUGCCUAGACCGUGGCAACGCACGGACAUUCUGGUAGUAAAGCAUAAAACUACAAUUUUCAGAAAAUCUUCUCACGGAGCCCACUCUUUUGCUAAUUUGUGUGAAAAACAACAGUUUUACCGGGAUCCCUCCCCGACGCCUAAGCGCGCGGGGCGGUUGAUUUGACACGCUAAAAAUCUGGCGUGGGGCCCACUUCUUCCUAAUCUCUCCUCUUUCUUUCCUUAUCUCCUUCUUCCUCGUUCUUUUCUCCUCCCGACUCCCGACGUUUCUCCUCCUUCGCUCCUACUCCCGAGCGGCAGCGGCGGCGAACCGAAGCCGGCGGCGCCGCGGCCGGCCGCGGCGCAGGUGAGUCAAGUCCAAGCCGGAUACGGCGACGACGGCGAGGGCGAGACCGAGCCGCAGCGGAGGCAACGCGGCGUGCAGCUAGGCGACGGCGGAGGCGAGGAGGUGAUGGAGGAAAGAGGCAAGCCCAAGGAACUUAACUUAGGGUGAGGGGGGGUGGGGGUGGCCGGCGCCGGAGAAGAUGAAGUCAUUCCCGGGCUUAGAGGGGUGGCUGGGGCGGCGGCGGACCGGCGGUGGUGGCGGCGGGAGCAGGGCGGGGCGGCGAGGCCACGCGGCGGGGCCUCCUUUCUACGGGGCCUUUGGCAUCCUCCGGCGGCAGCGAGGAGGAGGAAGGGGGGAGCUUGGUGGUGGCGAUACCCACCCCGCGCGCUGCCACCAAGCUCGGAGGGAGUAUAUCAAUUCCUGAAAAUCAUGUUAAAGUAAAUUGAAACAACAAAUUGUACAAGGGAAUCCUCGAUUCAUCCCACAUUCACUUAUUAUUGUGCACUAAACUACAAAAGCUCUUAUAGCUAACCAAGAGACAUAAACAUCGAAGAACAUAGAUUUGGAGAAGAUGACAUUGACGAGUUGUGUGUUGGGACGAUAAGACUAUCGAUUGGUGGCGGACGGCUGGUCCAGCCGUUCCCUGUUCCCGUGCUGGCGAUGUCCAGUCCAGGUCAAGCCCUAGCGCGCGGGCGGCAAGCCUGCGGCGGCGGCCCCAGUCGGUGCGGUGUCUCUCUGACUCUCUCAGAGCCACGCUGCAACCAACCUCUCUGCGUGCGUGCGUUUUUCUUUGGCCUGGGCCAUGGAUCUCUCUGUCCGCAGGCCAAAUCGAUGGCUGCGCCCCGGGCUGAAGCCCAAAUCUUCACUGCUAUAGGCAAAAAAGAAAUGCUACGACCCAGGCCAUGCUCCGGGUUGCCUGAGGCCCAGCUCCUCCUGGUGCGCUUUUAAAUGGAGGCAUGAACGGCCAUUUGUACAACCCCCACGUCGUUGUUGCCUCUGAGAAACGAGAUCAGACCAUAUGGGUAAACAAACCUUUUUUUUUCCCCAUUAUGCUAUCUUAAUAAAAUUUACAGAGCUCCCGUCAGUUCCAUUUAAAAAUACUGUGUACGCUUUAUGCCCGUAUCUCAUUGGAGACUUACCUAGCUAAUCUGAAAUGAGAAAGAAAACGCUGGUUAUGUCUCUGAGAAACGAGACCAGACCUCAACUGAAACUGCAAAAUCUAUACAUGUACUCCCCCGACUUUUGUAUGCAAACUGAUUUUUUCUAUACAUUUAUCACAUACAUAGAGAUGUACAUAAAAAAAGAACAAAAAUAUAGUCCAUGCAAACAUUGCAUUCACUACUACAGAAACUGCCUUCAGUGGCGGUUAGAAAUAGGGGUUGGUGGCGGGCAUACAACCCGCCACCAACCACGCGUCACUGGUGGUGUGAGCAACAAUGGCGGGUGAAAUCACCGCCACCGGAGCUACCUCUGCUGCUGGCGGGUCGAAAUGACCGCCACUGGUAACCAUUUUGCAAUUUAAAAAAAAUGGCAGGCCACGGCCUGCCCUCAGUUGCCGGGAUGCAAAAAUACAACAAAUCGCAGGCCGGAACACAUGAAAAUCCGAGAAAAUGAAAUUACACAUUUUGUCGCCUGUUAAAUGAAUCAAUAGUUCAACACAUACAACACAUGGAACCAAAUCGAGUUACAACACACAUAACCAAAUCGAGUUACAACAAACAGAAACUAAACUCGAUUUAACAAUCACAAACACAUCUCUCUGGAUCUUGAUGUGCAGCACGGAGAAGACCUACAUCUGCAGCACGGAGAAGAGGACAUAACUACAUCAGCACGGAGAGAUCGCGAGGGAAAUAGAGAUGGUGAGAGUUAGAGAGAGGGAGAGAGCAGUGAGAGAAGACGGAGAGAGAGGGAGAAAGCAGUGAGAGAAGACGGAGAGAGAGGGAGAGAGCAGUGAGAGCACUUACCUCGCAUGGGCCGUUGCCGUCGCUGUGCCGGAGAUCAAGGGACCCGCACGGGGUCACGGCCGCAUCUCUGCCGGUGCUGCCUGCUACUGGAGCCCCGUUGUUGCCUCUCCAGUCCGGCCGCUGCUGCCUGCUAUGAGGAGGAGGAAGAGGGAAGGGAGGGUGCUAAGCGCUGGGGAAGAGGUCGGGAAGGAGGAGAUCGGCUUGGAUCUGGAGAGGGAGGGAGGGAGGCGGCUGGGAUCUGGAGAGGGAGAGGAGAGGAAGAGGCUGAGAUCUGGAGAAGGAGAGGAGAGGAGGAGGAGGUCGUGGGGGAGAAGAGGGCUAGUGGAGGAGGGACUCGGUGAAAGGGGACGGACGGAGUCACGGGUACGCCAGCUCAUCGAUCCACUGCGCCUAGCCUCAGCCAAUCAGGGAUGAGCAUCCGACUUCAUCUGGAUUGGCUUUUUUUUGCUUUCUAUCUCCAGUGGCAGGUUUUAUUGCAAAACCGCCAUUGGAGGUUUAUAAAUUUGUUAAAAAAAUAUUUUUUAGUACAAUAUACUUGUGUUUUGGAUUACACUAUGUUGGGUUAUAAGUUUAUGAAUCUAUUACAUUCUGUGUAAAAAUUGGGUGCCAUUUUGAGCCAUAUUACUUGUAGUUGCUUCACAAAAUAUCUCAUGUUUUGUGUUUAGAAAUUGAAAAACAUUUUUAAAAACUAAAAAUUUGUAAGCUCUUUGGCAAUAUUGUUUGGCAUGCAAAGACACACAUGUGUGCAAAAAUUGGAUUCAUUAUCACGAACUAUGAUAUAGAAAUGGCUGUGCGUUUGGUCAUUUGGCUUAAAACUCAUAGUCAAUUUUGUGAAAGAUUUUUUUGAACAUUUGUCAAAAUACAAAUUUAUCAUUUCUCAUGGCAACUAAUAAACAUAGAAGGACUCCAUGCCAAAGAAUUGACUUUUUUUUGACAAUUUUUUCAUAUUAUUCGCAUUUUCGCAAGAUGGGGUGAAAAUUGUCGGCACAUCUUUCCAUAGAAAGAUAUUGGAUAUUUCAACACCCUAUAUGAAUCUUACAUAAUACUUACUUGGGUACCUUAAAAUGAUUUUUUGAAUUUUUUAGGAACAAACUAUCACACACUUGUAGUUCAAAUUUGAAUUACUUUUGGGAAAUCGCUAGAAAUUCAUUUAAAUGGAGAAAAGUAUCAAUAUUAGCUAGAAAAUUCAAAGCCUUUUGGACACAAACAUUUAAAUAUGUUCUAGUUUGUGUGAAAAUUGUAUAGGUUCCAUUUUGAACCAUAAAAAUAGUACUUGCUUCACUAACUAUUUUAUUUUUUGCAUUGAAAAAGCUAGAAAAUGCAAAGCCUUUGGACACAGACAUUUAAAUAUGUUCUAGUUUGUGUGAAAAUUGUAUAGGUUCCAUUUUGAACCAUAAAAAUAGUACUUGCUUCACUAACUAUUUCAUUAUUUGCAUUGAAAAGGCUAGAAAAUGCAAAGCCUUUGGACACAGACAUUUAAAUAUGUUCUAGUUUGUGUGAAAAUUCUAUAGGUUCCAUUUUGAACCAUAAAAAUAGUACUUGCUUCACUAACUAUUUCAUUUUUUGCAUUGAAAAAGCUAGAAAAUGCAAAGCCUUUGGACACAGACAUUUAAAUAUGUUCUAGUUUGUGUGAAAAUUGUAUAGGUUCCAUUUUGAACCAUAAAAAUAGUACUUGCUUCACUAACUAUUUCAUUUUUUGCAUUGAAAAAAUGGAAAAUCAUAUUUUAUGAGAAAGACCUUGUAUUCCAACAUGUUAAUCAAUAAAAAUGAAGACUUAAGCAAAAAGAAUCACAUCAUUUCGAUUUUUUUUGAAUUAAUUAUGAUUUUUGCAAGUUUCACCGGUCUCAGGGGGUCACCAGUGGCGGGUUUGAGAUUAGAACUUCACCAGAGGCGGGUUUGAGAUUAGAACUGCCACCGGUAGGCGGGGGGGUCACCAGUGGCUGUUCUAAGAGGUCACCAGUGGCUGUCCUAAUGACCGCCACCGGUGCUCGAGCACCAGUGGCGGUGAUAUUUUGAAACGGGAAUCACCGCCACUGGUACUGUUCGUGGAUGUCCCGAACGGCCUCCAGUGGCGGUGAUUUUUUGGGCCCAUUUUAACCGCCACUGGAGGGGGUCCAUGAAAGGGGUAUUUUGUAGUAGUGAUUGCAUUGCAUGUGGCUGCAGAAAAGAGCAGGGACACAUCCGGUUGACACAUACAUGAGGAUGAGCGCAACUAAGUACUGCUUCACCAAAACUAUUCACUCACAAGAACACAAGAACUUCGGACAAUAAUUCAUAGGGUAUGUAAAAAAGCUAUAAAUCGUGUGGUAUAGUUGGGUGCACUUCUGUAAUUAAUCGGGAGCAUGUGGUUUAUUCACAGAAGUAAUUUAGAAGCUCUAAAAAAAAUUCACAAGUGAUUUUUCAUAGUUGUGUGAUGAACGCUGAAAGAGAUAAAAUGGACAUAUAAUGGGUCGUUGGGUGGUUGAAAAAUAUGGGUUGCUUAUUUUGCUAGAUGGAUCCCACUACUAAAUAUUUUUUGACAGCACCACAUGGAAACGAAGACACACAAAUAGCACCGGCCGGUAACAAAUUUCGCUUUGGCACACUACUCGUGUCUUUGCAGGCGUAGAUGCCUAGCGACACCUGCAUGUGUUACUUCUCGAUACGUCCCAAUCCUACUACGGCAAUAAACACCCAUGGCUAGUAACUUUAAAAACAACGACGAUCCGUUUGUAGUUUGUACUGUGCAGACAAGCUAGGAAAAGCAAACAAGGAAACCUUCCUUCUCGUUUUAAAUAGACGUCCAUGAAUUCAUUUAAUUCAAUCGUGCAUCCCUCGGUAUAAUGCACACUUUAAAUUACUCCCUCGGUCCCUCCGAUCCCAAAAAUAACGACAACAAUUUAGAAUCGGUAGAAGUACAAAACUGUCUUUUUCAAAAAUAAAAAUAAAUUACAAAGUUGUACGGAGUACUAGAUUCUAAAAAAUAUCCGGAUGCUAAAAAGUAUGCACCAUUUGGUCCGGGUUGUCAGAAACACCAUUAAGCCGCCUAAUAGAUUAGGGUUUUUUGAGACUUCUUACCACAAGAGUUGUGGUUUUGUGAGACUGUUAGCAACAACUAUGGUUUUGUCCCAAGAGUUGUGGUUUUGUGAGACUGUUAGCAACAACUGUAGUUUUGUGAGACCACUGCCACAAAAAGUGUGAUUCUGUGAAAUUUUCUCGGUUUAUAUUGCCAAGCUACCAUAGCUAUGACAUGGAUAUCCUUCCUUCGGCAUAUACAUUUUCACACAAAGAUGACGUACAUAAUCAAAGAAAUACUGCAGUUGAAUCUAAUAUUAGCCGUGCAUACAACUCAACACGGAUCGACGAAUAACACAUGAGCAAACAACCGACAGAUAUACGUAUCGGGCUGCAAUCAUUAUCUUUUAUUGGACAUCAGAUCACAAUGUGAUGGAUGGACGAAAUUCCACACAAGUCACGGAUCAAGCAGGCAUAUAUACAAAGUCUAUGAUAUUGGCCGCCUCCGCUCGCGUGGUGACACCGAUUUUGCUUAGCUUUUUUCUGUUAUUCUCGCUAAGACUCUUGAGGUCUCCGGUGGUAUAUAAUUGGGAGAGCGCACUCCACGCACCGGUGUACUUGGCGUCCUUCUCAGUGAGAGUUCCACCCUGCUGCCAGAGACGAACGCAGGCAGCCUGAAUGCUCUGGAUGCGUAGAGAUUCAGAAAUCAUAAUGGCAAAGGUUAGCACGGCCUGCUUGGUGAGUGUUCGUCACUCCUGAACCCCAACAAGUAAAGGGAAUCCAUCCUAAUAUACAGAGCAGCCCUGAGUGGAGGCGGCCCUGUAUAUAGCUCGACUACCAUCCACAUCGCCGGGGGAGCUAGUAUAUCCCUUGGUGUCGCUGCAAGGGCAUCAUGGCCGAGAACUGUUUUACCACCGGGAGAAGACUUCACCUCACCACGGAUCAGACCCCACGACUCCUCGUACAGUGUUCCCUUGCUUGAGUUGAACUUUGCAACUUUAUUUGGCUCCAAGUCCUUAGCAGGGGUGGACCUAUAACAAAAAGAAAUCCUCGAUAGCUUAAUUGCAGUGUUGUAUAAGAAUUUAUUUGCAUGUUGAUGUUUGCACUCGAUCACUGGAGAACAAUGCUUACCAUUUUACCAAUCCUCGUUGAAGCGAUGAUGAAGUGUUUAGUGGAAGCGGGAGAGGAGCUGGAAGGUAUAUAUAGAAGCGCAGGAGUCAAUACUUAGGAAAUAAUGUCCAUGGCCGAUGAAAUAACAAAAUGAAAAUGCACGCAAUAACCUACAUAUAUACUCACAUUGCUGGCUUCUCCUUGCAGACAACAACUGACUAGCUUGUACAGGAAGACCUGUACGUACCAAAAUUAACAAGACAAGUGCUGCGCAUACGACACUCUUCAUACCAUUUUUCGUACUACAAACAUUGGAUGGAUGGCUUGUGGUUGAAUCGUCGUACAAGAGUCGCAGUAUUCAAGCAUCGUACGCAAAGCUAUUCCGAGGCAAAUUAAGAGCUGGAGUAUUACUGAACACUGCUACCUCAGAAUUCAGAAAAGAUGCUCUUCUCGAUUAGCUGGGACAAUGCAUGCAAGCUUGUUGAUACCGUGUGCCCAACAGUAGGGUUUUAGAAACAAUCCAACCGAUCUGGCUGGCGAGCUAGCUGGCUACUAGCACUUGUGCCCCAAGCCUCUUCCUGUCUUUCCUCUGCUGCACACCAUUUCCAUCGAUCGGUUACCUUCCUUUUUCUCUGGUGUCCAGGAAUAGCGAGGCUAGCUGUAAUGGAGGUAACUAGACAAAACACUGCGCGUUAACGUUGCUAGGGGAUCAAAGUAAUUAUACAACUUCAAAACACUAUGCAAAAAUGAACCAACGAUUAGCACUUAAUAUACAGGAGUACUACUUGUUGCACCUAGCUACAACUUUGAUCUGAUAAUUCAUUCAAGGUUUUUUGUGCCUGGGAAUGUAUAAACCUGCGCAUGAUUCAUUCAUGAUCUGAUAAAACCAUUUAUCUCAAUACACUGACUGGUUUUACCAGCCGGACAGAGAUUCAGUGAAGCUGCGAGUUGCGACUUAGGCCCUCCCAUGUGCCCUUCAAUUUAGAUCCAAUGCCAAGCAUGACACAAAGGCAAAAAAAAAAAAAAGGUUCACACUUGGCUGAUUUCAGAUUCCAAACAGGUAAAGCAAAUCUGCAACUCUACUUACUGAAGCAAAUCUGGAUAACUGAGCAUAUAUAUUAUGAAAGUCAAAAACUGAACAUAUUAUGAGUGAAAAACCUAAACCAAUUACGAGGGGAAAAUCUUGAUAAUUGAACAGAUUAUAGGGAAAAAUCUGUAGCAAAAACUGAAUCAAAAAUCUGCAGCAUAACACUGACAUUUUGUAGCACUUACCAUUGAAGGUCUGGAGCAAUUGCGGUCACAUAUUACAUUGAAAAUCUGAAGGAUAUUCAUUACCAGGAGAUAACAAAAUUACAGAUAGAUCAUUUCCACUAAAGGAUCGAAGUUCACCAUCCAGAAACUAAGUAUUAUAGAAAAAAAAACCCUGCAGAAACUAAAACAGAAAACAAAAGCAAACCCUACGAAGAUGGGGAUUGUAAUGUGAAUUGCAUACACUAGGUCAGUUUUGGGGCAAAAAAAACCAACUCAAAGACCAUGGACCGGCAUGUGACACCACGGCGGUCUUCAUCUCCAUUGGCAAUGGCGCCGGUGUCUGUUCUCUGAUAUUGUACAGGCCGGAUUCGAGAAAAUCAUCCUCAGGCUUUCUCCCGUUGGCACGGUCGUUGAGUUCAUGCUCGCUCAGAAAGUAGACACAAUCUUGAUACUGAUUCGCAACAGGGAGCGACCGGGAGCAGUCUUGGCUGACAAAGAGAGCACGCCCCUUCAAAUUAUCAACCUUAGUCCAACGUCCAUUGCCGACGCCAUUAUGCAGGUCCGUUGCCUCAAAAACCUCGAGCCGGCGAGUCCGCAUGUGUUUCCCAGAGCGCAUAUGGAAUUCAAUCUCACGGUCAAUCAUGUGUUUCCCAGGUUGGUGGUGCUGGAGCGCCACGGCCGGCAGACCGCGCGGAGGCGGACGCGGUCGGCUUGGGACGGCAUGCGCGACAGCACCAGGCCCAGCAACUCCGGCGGCAGGUCCGGCCAUGGCGACGAGACUUGCUGUGCCAUGGCCUUGCCUUGGCUUGUACGGGAACGGGAAAGACACUGGUUCCUUGGCGGCGGCGUGAGGGAAGACCUAGACUGAGCCAGAUGCCCGCUCUCCAGUCUCCACACCCACAGGGGAGGCAUUUGUAUUUGUAUUUGUGUCCUCCUCUUUCUUUUGGGCCGCCCAGCCUCCAAAAAUGGGCCGGAUCCCAGCUGAAAGGCUUCUUCAGCAUAAGAAAUGGAGCAUAUGGGCCGGGGGUAUUUAAUUGUAUCAGCUCCAUCUCCUUUACUGCAUACGCACAUUCCAUGCAAAAUUCCUGAUCCUGACCGAGUGAAAGGAAAAUGAAUUUUGAAAUCCCUCUGGAUGUGGUUGUGACCCAGUUGACAAAAUGAAUAUGCAUGUUUUCACUCUGUACUGCCCGGCAUCUAUGGUGUGCUUAACAAUAUAUAUAAUGCUUUCUUAAGUCGAUAAAUUUGCUAAGGUGAUCAUAUGUCAGACUUAGGUUUUAGAUUAAUUUACAUCUAACAUACUCCCCCCUCCCAAAAUAAAUGGCGUGAAUUUGUAUAAUAUCAAAUAAGUGACGUGAAUUUGUAUAAGAUCCAGAUCAAAAAAGUGACGUGGAUCUUAUAAAAUCCACGUCACUUAUUUUAGGACGGACGGAGUAUAUGAUUAAAAUAAGUCUAAAAUUUUAGGUGUCCGGUAUUUGAAUUUCCUAUCCAACGGUUCACAUAAACAACCAACAAAGAGAAAUACAGAUUCUUCUAUAGAUAUGCAAUGAUACAUUUUUUUUAGUGGAACGGCCGAAGCUUUAUUAGCUAGAAAAGUUCAUAGGGAUACAAAUAUUGGCUGGUGGAUGAUCCAACCAGACAUAACGUCCAGCCUCAAAAGACGUUGCUAGCCGAACUAAUCUAUGAGCUUUCCCGUUUGCUUCGCGUCGUUCGUGACCAAAGAUGGUCUCCCGUAGCUGUAACCUCCUUGUCGCAAUACCUCGAAUGAUCAUUGCAUGCGGUCCAAACUGCUUCUCCCCAUUGAUCUCCUUGAUAACAUUCAAACAAUCCGAAGCAAUCUUAAUUCGUUGGGCACUAAUAUCCACCACCAGAGAGAUGGCUUCAUCACAAGCAUGAGACUCCAAGAUUUCAGGAUCCGACAAACCGUCGAAGACCACCGCAGAAGCACCAAUGUAUAAACCAUUUUCAUUCAGACACACGGUCGCUAUCGCUCCCUUUGGCAGGCCCUUAGCAACAGCCGCAUCAACAUUAAUCUUGUGAAGCCCCGCUGGAGGGGGGAUCCACUUCGGAAUAGAGGAACUAACCGAAGGAACUCUUCUAGGGGCGACAUUCUUGGCAAAACCCAACUCUUCAAUAUAUUUGUUAAUGAAAGCUUGAGUUGAUAACGGGCUCUGAAACUCCCUUUCAUGAAUCGCUCUCUGCCGGCCCACCGAAUGGCCCAGAGAGUAACCAAAACUUCCACAAAAUCUUGCUGGUUCAGAGUGCGGCAAAGAGACAUAAGCCAAAGCUUCGGAUAAUCUGUUUCAUCACCAUAAAGAGGCAAGAUCACAUCAUCAUUGUGCAGAGACCAUACAGACUUGGCCAUGUUGCAAUCAAGUAAGGAGUACCGCCAAGAAUCAGUCGCUGCAUUGCACAGCGAACACACUGACGAAGUGGCCAUCUGACGCCUCGCCCAUUCCUGGCUCGUGGGCAGCGAGGCACGUGCCAAUCUCCAAGCAAAAAUACGCAGCUUGGAUGGAACACAGACACCCCACAACUUCUUCCACUCCUUCUCCCGAUCUUCUCCAUUAGAUCCUUCAGCAGAAUGCUCCAGCCAGGCAGUUCGACGGUGCUUAAUUUCGAUCAUCAUUUUGUAUGCAGAUCUUACUGAAAAAAUUCCAGACUUCUCGUAAUGCCACGCCCAAAAGUCUGGCUGAUGAACAAAGCUAAUCGGGACUUGCCUGACUGCCUCAUCAUCCAUCGGUAGCAGAUGUGACCUCAAAGAUUCCACAUUCCAGGUCCUUGUCGAAGAACAAAUUAAUUCGGACACAGCAACCGGUGGCGUCGACGACAAAGAGCCAAAAGGCCUCAGUUUAAAAUCUCGCGGGAUCCAAUUAUCAUGCCAAAUAGACGUGGUCACACCAUCCCCCAAUCCGUCUAAUCAGGCCCAUCUUCAACAUCUCUUUCCCGUCGCAUAGCGACCGCCAAACCUGCGAAGGAUGACUUCCAAGCUCCGCCUCCAACAAACUGGAAUUAGGGAAAUAACGUGCUUUCAGAAUACGAGCACUGAGCGAAGACGCAUCCUGCAAGAGCCGCCAAACUUGACGAGCAAGCAAAGCAAGGUUAAAAAUUUCAAUAUCUCGAAACCCUAAUCCUCCUUUAUAUUUUGGCAUUGUCAUUGAGUCCCAUGACACCCAAGCCAUUUUUCUUUCUCCUUUCUUAUUGCCCCACCAAAAUUUUCGGAUCAAAGAAGUAAUGUGUUGACACAGCCCACGCGGAAGCUUAAACACAGCCAUAGAGUACGUUGGGAUUGCUUGAACAACGGACUUAAUAAGUAUUUCUUUUCCACCAGACGACAAAGAUUUUUCCAUCCAUCCUUGAAGCCGCUUCCAAACUCGGUCCUUGAGAUAACCGAACGCACCAUUUUUCAAUCUCCCAACAUCAGAGGGCAAACCCAAAUAUUUUUCCUUGAGAGUUUCGAUUUCAACAUUAAGAAUCCCCUUCACUGCAGUACGGAUACCAGCUGGGCAGCCCUUCCCAAAGAAAAUCGAGGACUUCUCCGCAUUAAUACGCUGGCCGGAAGCGUGACAGUAGACGGUCAACAGAUUGGACAAAGUCGUAGCUUCAACAGUAGUAGCCUUCCCAAAAAGAAGGGAGUCAUCCGCAAAGAGCAAAUGAUUCACCUGAGGAGCUGAACCAGUAAUUCUGAUGCCACCCAAUUCUCCAACUAGUCGGGCUUCCUUCAACAAACAGGACAGACCCUCGGUAGCUAAUAAAAAGAGAUAUGGCGACAGAGAAUCUCCUUGUCUAAUACCUCGAGAAGGACGAAACUUCCGAGUAAUCCCUCCAUUGAAGAGGACUGAGAAAGCAACCGUUCGGACACCACGCAUAACAGCAUCAAUAAAUCUCGGGGAAAUUCCCAAACGGUGCAUUAUAGCUUCAAGAUAGUCCCACUCCACCCGGUCAUAGGCUUUCAUCAUAUCAAGUUUCAAAGCAAAAUGGGCAUUAGUCUUGCUCUUAUUCCCCUUCAUGAAAUGCAAACACUCAUAAGCCGUGAUGACAUUGUCUGUGAUAAGACGACAAGGAACAAAUGCCGAUUGUUCUUCGGAAAUAAUCUCAGGGAGGAUCUGCUUCAAUAUAUUAGCAAGUACUUUGGAUGCAAUUUUAAACACCACAUUGCACAAGCUAAUUGGACGAAACUAAGAUAGAGAUGUAGGGUUCAGUACCUUAGGAAUAAUAACGAUGAACAUCUUAUUUAUCUCAUCAGCUGAAUCCUCACCCUUGAGAAUACGAAUCACAAUCUUUGUGAUCUCUUCACCACAUAGAUGCUAGUACUUUUGGAAAAAGUGAGCAAGAAACCCGUCCAGACCCGGAGCCUUGGUCGGGAACAUUUGAAAUAGCGCAAUUUUAAGUUCAUCGACACUAUAUGGUGCAUUGAGGAUUGAGUUCAUGGCGCCUGUGACUUUACAAGGUACAUGAGAUAAAACCUCCUCCAUGCCAAUAACUCCUUCCGACCGAUAUAAGUUUUCAUAAAAGGCCACAGUCAUCUCCUCCAGCUCAGCUGGAUCUUCGCAUAGCGUACCAUUAGCUCGAACCAGCCGAUCAAGGUGAUUCUUUUUAAGGCGGCGAUUUGCUUUUUGAUGAAAAAAACGUGUGCUACGAUCUCCCUCUACUAACCACUGCACCCUGGCCCGCUGCCUCCACAUCACCUCUUCCUGAAAACUGAGCUCAACAAUGUGUUGCUCCACCUUCUUCUCCUCAUAGCUCGGCCCAACACGACCAGACUCUCCCCUAAGCUCCUGGAGCUUCCUCCUAGCUCCCUCAAUUCCUUUCGGACUGCACCAAAAGUACUAGUACCCCAGCUCACCAUUGAACUCGUUGCAUCACGUAGCUUAGCAACCAGGUCGCCCACUGUAGCAGCCUUGUCCAGCCCCCAUGCAUCAUGAAGUACGGUGCCAAAAUCCUCAUGCCUAUCCCACAUGAGCUCAUACCUAAAUGGCCUUUCCCUACCAAUCCGCCUGUUGUGAGCCUCCAUUUCAUUCAACAACAAAAUUGGCGAGUGAUUUGACUUUGCUGCUACCAGAUGACGCACUGGCGCAAACGGGAAAAGGUGGCACCGGUAGCCCAAUGCCAAAGCCCUAUCCAACCGCACUCGGCAAUAAGCGUUAUUCUGCACACGACGCUCGAACGUCCAGUCUAAGCCAGUGUAGCCCAGGUCACAUAACUCACACGCAUCGACAGCCUCCUGAAACAAAUUAAUCUGGGCCAUGUCUCGUUCAUUUGGGCCGAAUUGCUCCUCGCGCCCCAGAACUUCAUUAAAAUCUCCAAUACACACCCAUGGCAGCGAGCAAUCUGCCUUCAAGAAGCGCAUGAUGUCCCAAGUUUUAUAACGUAAACUUCUAUUUGCUUCUCCAUACCAGCAGGUCAUCCUCCACACAUCCUUCCCCGGUUCAUGUACUUCCAUAUCAAUAUGAUACUUCAAGAAAUUUCUCAACAUCAAAGACACUGUAUUCUUCCAGUAGACACAUAAACCACCGCUCCGACCAGAACUUCCGACACCAAAAGCAUCAUUAAAACCUAACGUACCAGCCAACCCUUCCACCCGAUACUUUGCGAUCUGUGUCUCCAGCACACAAAGGAUCAGCGGCGCAUUCUCCUGCACAAGCGUGCGCAACUCAUGCAUUAUUGCAGGAUCACCAAGCCCGUGACAGUUCCAGCACAGAAUACUCAUUGGAGCCGGCGAUCCUCAACAACGGAGGUCGCCGACGCAGAUUUCACCAGAAGAUUUAUCUUUCUUCAUCUUCUUCUGCUCCCCUCACCGCUAGGAACUAACAGGAGAGAUACCCCAGGGACUCAAAAUAGAAUUGAAGUUUAACCAGGAUACGACCCAAAGUCAGAGGUGGACUCACCGUUGGGAAUCGACGGGAGGAAAAAGGACUAACCGCCAGAGAUCGACGGGAGUAGGUGGACUCACCGCCAGAGUUCGACGGGAGUAGGUGGCCCGGCCACACGGUGGCGGCGGCUGUCAGCUCACCAUGACGGCUAGAGAUAUGCAAUGAUACAUUUGAGUGAAAGUUUCAAGACCUGAAAUGCCGUAGUAAAAACAAAAAAUAGAUGACUGGGCUUUAAUGGAGCUGGAGCCUUGAUGGGCUUGCAAUGACUGGGCUGAGCAGGACUUCUGAGGCGCGCCAUCACGUUCCUUCACGUUGGCAUCCACCGCCUCUCUCGUCCUAAAUCCAGAUCCUCGUCCGUCCGAGCUACCUAGGCUAUGGCCAUGGCUUCCAUCGUCUCCAAGCUCGCGCGGGCAGCCUUCGCAACCCGCGCCUCUCCCUCCGCCGUUGCUGCCGCCGGUCGCCCUACAGCCGCAAUCCCUAGCUAAUUUACGGAAUUCCCAAAGGAGUUGUUAUUUCGAUACGAAUUUAAUACCUGAUUAUUUCUGUAUUAUCUCUUAGAUAUACGGGCCGGGCUUCAGUACGAGUUCUUCUAAUCACCACAGUUGCAAUAAGCAUGUUGUUUGGUUUAUUAAUACCAACUGUUACAAUAGCUCUGCCUUCCUAGGCUAAAUCAAUCAAAUUUACUCUGAUGAGAGAGCAAUAGUACAAAUGAUCCACAAUUCAUGUCUCAGCUACCAAUCCAGCGGCGUCACGUUUUCACUAGACCGAGAUAUUGGGGCCUCAGAGUUGGUACAAUUGGAGUCUUCACUGUUGGUGUCGAUACGUCACGACACCGCUCAUGUAACUUCUCGAUGCAUCCCAGUCCUACCGGACCAAUAUGCACGCACGCAUGGCUCAGACAAGAAAAAAGGAAGUCAUUGAGGAAAGAGGUGUGCACUGUGCAUUCGAGGAAAGGCAAACAAGGCCAACUAGCUUGCAGCAUGUGCGUUGCUUGCCUUUGCUUCAUAUAAAUGGAUGUUGUGCGGUAUAGAAACCGUUUCUUCAAGUGUACAUUCAGAGGCAUAAUGCACAUAUUAAAGCAGUGAUGUACUGGCCUUUUUUUUUCUACAAUACAAGAGUGAUGUACUGGCCUUGAAGUUGCGAAAUUGUAGGUUCUAAAAGAAAAAAGUGAGUUAUUCGAUCAUUGAUACAGUACAAUUAAUGCCCAAACUAAGACAAUCUUCACUACAAAACCGUACAUUCUUAAGGAAAAUAUACAAAAUUGUAGCAUGUCGUAUUCAAAUCCUGCCAUGUAUCCCGCGCCGUGCUGUGCUUGAGCAAGGACCCAAUGUUUGCCAAUAGAGCACCAGGUAGGCAAUUGGGUUGUAGAAUGUAGAUGGAGCCCCAAAAAAUGGAGGCUGUGACUCAGCUUUAGUAAUUUGUCAGUACAGUGAGUACCAAACUGCCAAUAAACGGAGGAAAUCAGUUCUUCACCUCUCAUUCCAGAUAGCUUUAGCAUGCCGCACAUGCUGACGAAAUAUUCAUGCCUUGUUUUUUUAUCUGUUCAUCAUGCUCAUUCUGAUGAGUUCUUUUGGUUCAUUGCCUGGAAUCAAAUGUUAUCUUGGUGUUGGAGAACCUGAAGCCUGUUUUGAUGCGGUACAAGAACAGACCGAUUAUGGCAAGUGAUGAAGAAGAAAAAAACUGAAUGCGGCUGCAGAACUGAGCUUUUAGUGUGUUUGUUUACUACUUUCAGUCAAUUUUCAGUGAAUGAAUUAAGCUGAUGCUGAGGGGAGGAAGGAGUGAAGGACACGAAUCUGGGCGCUUUGUAGGGGGUCAAUGCAAAAAUCAAAACCUGCAACGGAAAUCUAAGCACGUGAUUUAAGGUUUAAACUUCCUCAGCUCCUCAAUGGAGUGAAGAACCUAGCUAGUGUGAAAGCUGAAUGCUGCCAUCUUCAUCGUUAAUUUUCCUAGCAUAAAUCUACAGGUGCGUUCAUCUUUUUCCUCUUAGCAAGUCACGUCAAUCCCGCGUGUAAUGUAAAAUUCUAAUUUCUAGUUUUGGGAACAAACGCCAACACAACAUCAGCGAGAAAACUCAAUCCAUAAAUAUUAGUUAUAAGAAAAUUCAAGGUAUCGAUACAAACAUGUUGGCAGUCUUCCUCUGCAUCUCCACCUCAUAUUAAUGUUCGAAGUUUCGAACCGAAGCGUAACAUAACUUUAAGACCUAAAGGAACGGCAGUUAAUUUUGUUCGCAAAAAAUAUUUGUUUUCAUCGCUACCAUUGAUAAACAUUUGUUGAGCUUUUUUUUUUAUAAUUAGUCAAAUUUUGAAGAUAGCUUUGCCGUGUGGUAACAUUUGUUGAGCUUGACAGUGUUGUGAUUGCAGAGUACAGUAGAAGUACUAGAAAAACAAAAGUGGCACCUGCUCCGCAAAUAUUUUCUUGAAGUUAAAGAAAAUGUAGAAAUAUAGAUGUCUGGGUCCUUUAUGUGCUUGAAAAUUUCAUGUAAAAAAUUUACUUUUGCUUCUCUGGUAUAAAAAGACAAGUCUACUGCUCAUCUUAGAGGAUCAAUAUUUGUUUUUUUCACUCGGGUCACAAAAUCCUUUGUUUUGGUAACAUGAACAAUAUUUGUUUGAGCUUGUUUAGAAUAUUGUGACAAUAUUAAGUAUUUUUUUAUGAUUUUAGUACAAGUAUGAUAUAUGCGUUCGCUGGAUCGCUAUUUCAUUUGUACAACCACGUCUCGACGUUGAUGUUUGUUACAAGCUUCCAAAUAGAGCUUUUUUUAUUUGACAGAAAGACCGUAGGGGAAACCCCUAAAGCAUCAAAUAGAGCUUCUUGUGAUUAUAAAUUGUUACAGUGUCUAACUGAGAUCUACGUAUAUUUUUAUGAUUUUAGUACAAGUAUGCUAGAUGCGUUACUGGAUCGCUAUUUCAUUUGUACAACCACGUGUCGACGUUGAUGUUUGUUAGAACCUUCCAAAUAGAGCUGCUUCCUUUUUUAUGAAAAGACUGCAGGGGAUACCCCUAAAGCAUCAAAUAGAGCUUCUUGUGAUUUAUAUAUUUUGAAAUAAGGGAUUCCUCCCCAACUUUAUUAACAAAGCCAUAUAAGUUCUACAAGGUUUAAAACAGAGAGGAAACAGCUACACAUAGCUGUAUCAAACUUCAGUUGCAAGGUUGCAAGGAGAACAUCCAGAUGCAACUGGGAAUCCCACCAAAACAGCAGCUCGCGAGGCAGCGCCACACAGCGCAAAAGUCUACAGGAAUCGCCAGAAAACCAAAACGAGAGACGCUACACAUAGCAGCCUGAUUAAAACAGCGCUAAUAGGGAGAGUAGAACUCAUGCAGUAAUUCUUCUUCCAGCAGGCGCCCAUCCUUUGGAUCUGUUGAAGACCUUGCAUGCCACUUUCCUCAUCAGCUUAGCUCCUGCCUGCAACCCCCUUCUCACCUUUGGCUUCUGCAAAUCACACCAAAAAUCAAGCCAGUGACAAACCUGAAAUAUCACCCCAACGGGAUCAGCAGGAAUAAUAUGAUCGAAAUAGACUCGAUUUCUGGUUUUCCACAAGGUCCAGACAACAGCAGAUAAGAAAAUCUUAGCAGCUGCAAGAUCAACCCCACGGAAGCGACCCAUCCACUCCCCAACUUGGUCCAUCGAUCUAGGAGCAUCUCCAGUAUCAAAAGCUACUUGCAGAACUCCCCAGACAAAGAUGGCCAAAGGACAACGAAAGAAGAGGUGACCGAUAGUUUCAUCCCCUGCACAAAACAUGCAGUGAUGAUCACCAAUCCACCCUUUAUUAACCAAAUUGUCUUUGGUUAAAAUUCUGCCCCAUAGGACCAACCAAAGAAAGAUUUUGAUUUUACCAGGGAGUUUUAAUUUCCACAGCUGUUUAUAUACUUUCUUUGGCUGUCUUGUUUGCAAAGAAUUAUGCAUUGACUUAACUGAGAACUUCCCCCUAUCAAGCUUCCAGCUAACUGAAUCAUUAAUUGAAGAUAGCGAGGUGCCUUGGAUAAUAGCAAAGAGAUCAUUCCAAGCUAGAGCCAAAUCCCCCCACAAACAUCUCCUGAAACUCAAACAGCUUCCAACAUAAAGCACCACCUUAUUGACAGUAACAGUCUUACUGAAAGUUAGCAAACAACCGUGGGAAUUGUUCAGCAAGCGGAGAGUCUCCAUGCCAACAAUCCUCCCAAAACCUGGUCUGACAUCCAGAUCCCAGCACCCGUUUGCAUCUAUGAAAACACAGAUUCUUAAUCCCCAUUAAACCACCCCAGAACUGAGAGAUGCCCCAGCAGGCUGAGCCUGGGACAAAGUCUGUUUCUGCAGAUAUUUUUAAAAAAUACACAACCCAGAACCAUUUUCUAUCUGCCACAACCAUUUACUUAACAAACUACAUUCAUGAGAUCUAAAUCUAUAACCCCCAAUCCACCUAAAUCCUUUGGUGUGCACACAGAAGGCCAAUUCACCAAAUGAUACUUGAUCCUCUUGCCACAGAAGCCUAGAUCUGAAAAGGUCCAAUCUCUUUUCCACCCCUUUUGGCAAACGAUAAAAGGACAGCAUCCCACAUUCACUUGAUUGUAGACUAUACUACAGUACAGAUGCUUUGAACUAACCAGAAGGAAUAAUAGCAAAGAACAUAUAUUUGGAGGAGAGGACAGAGUGAGAGAAGAGUUGUGAGUUGGGACAACAAAAGACUACCGAUUGGGGGUUGCCGGCUGGACAGCUGUUCCCCGUUCCCGUGAUGGGGCUCGGGGAGGAAGACGGGAGUUGGCGACGCCGACGGCCAGGCCAUGAACUAAGGCCGCGGGCGCGGGUAGCCGCAGCCGCGUGUGGCUACUGGCUUGGCGAGGUGGGAAAAGCUCCUGGAGGCUAGAGAACGCCGGCGGGCGGCGACCUGCGGUGGUGGGUGGCGGUGCCUGCAACCAACCACCCCGGGCCAGGGAGUCUGCAGGAUGGGCUGCGCCCCGGGCUGAAUGCCCAAAUCUUCACUGUUGUAGGCCCAAAAAUAAUACCACGACCCAGGUUGCAUGGGGCCCAGAUCCGCUUGGUGCGAUUGUUUUGUUUUUUUGUUUUUUUUUUGCGACUGUGCUUGGUGCGAUUUUCAUGGAGGCAGAAGCGAAACUGAAACGAUCGAAAGCUAAAACCCUGUUGGCCUCAAAAAGAAAAGAAAACGAAAGCUAAAACCCUGUUGUAAUGCAAUCCAGUUGAUUGAUUAACAUUUUGUUACGAUGUAAUCCAUAUAGAGUAUAUAUAGACAGUUGUACACUUUUUGUUCGCAGAUACGUAUAUGAAUACUAUUAGUGUACAGAGCGCAGAUCCAUGCAUGAAUGUUGAUCUUUGUUGGCAGCUAGCUUUGAAUUAUGAAAGGAUGGUUUGUUUUGAUUAUGCUGGUUGUUCCCAUCGGAACGGAAGUACGGAACUACAACAAACGGGGGUGCCUGCUGAAUCAGGACAGGGAGCAUGGGCGGGAUUUGUUAGCCCCCGUAAGGCUCGAUCGUUAUGACAUGGCGUGUCCGCUGGACCAAGGAGGUGCUUCUUUCGUAAUUCUUGUCUCAAAUUUAUCUAAAAAUACGUGAAUGUAUCUAUUUUAAAACAAACGUCUAGAUAAAUAUAAUAUUUCGACAAGAAUUUAGGAUCCGAGUGAGUAGGAGGGAACACUGAAACCACCGGUACUGGCGGUACAUUUUCUAGUUCGCAAGAUCAAGAAUGCUAGAAUGGGCAAAGAUGAACUUUAGCACUCCAUCGCACCUGGGUUGUGGUUGAUGUCACCCACUGACCGGACGCGAUGCUGUUUCCAGCAGGGCCAAGGCGCUGGAGCACAAAUUGGUGCCGAGGUAUUGUCGGAGCCGAUGCCUCACGACACCCGGACGUGCAACUUCUGGAUGCAUCCCAAUCCUACCACACCAAUAUGCAUGCAUGAUGACAAAAACUGUUACUCUUUGAUGCUGUUUGUGGUCUGUUUGACGGAAUUUGGUUUAUUGAUGAACCUGUAAUAGAAAUCGUAGGAGUUCUCAAGUUGUUGGUCGUCCAGGGGUUUCUGGCGGCUCUUUUAUUUCCUUUGCGGAACCUCACUGGAUGUGAUCUGAACUAUUUGAUUUCAAUGAAAUCGGAAGCUUGCUCCUUGUUCCAAAAAAUAAAUAAAUGAAUGGCUUCAAUGAGCAAAGGCAGACAAAGCCAGCUUCUAGCAUGCGCUUGCUUGCUCUCGUUUUAAAUGGUUGCAUGUUGCGCGCGCGUUUCCAUAAAAUCGUGUAAAGCAAUGGUACGGGUACAUCGGUCCAUCGGUGUAAUGCACACAUUAAGUCUAUGUACUACCUACCUUUUAAAUUACAAAAUUGUACUGUAGUUUCUAACAGGAAAUACAAUAAAACUGUAUCGAGACACAUUUAAAUGAAAAAAAGGCCAUCUGAAUUAUUUUUUAAGUUUCAUAUAGUCUUUAGUCCUUAUUCUGAUCUCAUGGCAAUUUGUCAAAUUAAACUUUCUAGUGAGAUGACCCCCUUCGCUCAAACUUGAUAGAUUUCUGAGUCCUUUUUUUUUUAAAGACAUGAACAAUGAUGUUUUGCACCAAACAGCCAACAACUUCCCCACCACCCUCAUUUAAUUCACCUCUCAGUAGUACUGGAUCUAUGCCCUAGCUUGAUGCUCCUCUGCUCUCAUCUCAGUUCCAUUCACUCAUGCUUCCCUCCAUCGAUCUCUGUUUCCCGUGACCUGUCGCUCUAUAUGCUCACGGUGUCCAAUACUCCAUGCAUCUCGGUAGUAAGCUUGAUGCUGCCUGGCGCCCCGGCCUCCCUUUGGUUUAUCACCGACCGUGACGUCCUAUGGACUUAGCAGUGGUCAGCCGUACGUCAGGGCAAGAAUGAGUAACCACCACUCUCCAAGGUGGGGUGAUGAUGAUUUCUUAGCUUGAUGACGCAAUAGUAAGUCAGUGCUCGAGGGCCAUCAAGCCUAUUGGUUUUGGGGGAGAGAAAUCAAAUUGUAGCAUCCCCAGUGGUCCAAGGGAUCAAAAACAAUUAGGCCUCGUUGGUUCUCACGUCAAAACCAAGGGGAUUGGAAGGGAUUCAAAAUGAACUACAAACCCUUCCAGCACAUGUUGAGGAACAUAUAAUGAAGCAUGCUAACCAUGAAAAAAGGUCCCAAGCUGGACGAAUGUUCCUGAUGCCUCUCGAUCCUAUGCAAACAGACAAAAAAAGACUAAUCGUGGAACCAUUGGGGAAAAAAAAUGUUUGCUCAGAGUGGGCGAGGCAGUGUUGUGGAGUCAAGCAAAAGGCAAAGGGAACAUGUGCAGAGUGUGGGUUUGCUCUGUGCUCAUUUUAAAUACUCAUCAACUUCUUAUUCAGUAAAAUGGAGCACCUUCAGCAAGUUGUCCUUUAAAUGAUCCCUCGAGGUUGCUUCUUCUAUGCAUAUUUUUUCCUACUUCGAAAGAAAUGUGUUUCUCUUUUUAAUAACGGUUUUGCUAUUGAUAAGUUGCCUGUUUUUUAAUUUGAGAUCAAUCGACAUAUUAGCCAUCUAGGGGCGGAUUG